rnacentral:rRNA from 1 species
UCUAAUACCGGAUAAUACUUUCCCUCUCAUGGGGGAAGGUUAAAAGCUCCGGCGGUGAAGGAUGAGCCCGCGGCCUAUCAGCUAGUUGGUGGGGUAAUGGCCUACCAAGGCGACGACGGGUAGCCGGCCUGAGAGGGCGACCGGCCACACUGGGACUGAGACACGGCCCAGACUCCUACGGGAGGCAGCAGUGGGGAAUAUUGCACAAUGGGCGAAAGCCUGAUGCAGCGACGCCGCGUGAGGGAUGACGGCCUUCGGGUUGUAAACCUCUUUCAGCAGGGAAGAAGCGAAAGUGACGGUACCUGCAGAAGAAGCGCCGGCUAACUACGUG